rnacentral:tRNA from 1 species
GACUUUUUAACUAUAUGAAGUAUAUAUUUUGAAAAUAUAAAAAAGAGUUUCUCUAUUAGUCU